GACGAACGCUGGCGGCGUGCUUAACACAUGCAAGUCGAACGGAAAGGCCCUGCUUUUGUGGGGUGCUCGAGUGGCGAACGGGUGAGUAACACGUGAGUAUCCUGCCCUUGACUUUGGGAUAACUUCAGGAAACUGGGGCUAAUACCGGAUAGGAGCUCCUGCUGCAUGGUGGGGGUUGGAAAGUUUCGGCGGUUGGGGAUGGACUCGCGGCUUAUCAGCUUGUUGGUGGGGUAGUGGCUUACCAAGGCUUUGACGGGUAGCCGGCCUGAGAGGGUGACCGGCCACAUUGGGACUGCGAUACGGCCCAGACUCCUACGGGAGGCAGCGGGCGGGAAUAUUGCACAAUGGGCGGAAGCCUGAUGCAGCAACGCCGCGUGCGGGAUGACGGCCUUCGGGUGGUAAACCGCUUUCGCCUGUGACGAAGCGUGAGUGACGGUAAUGGGUAAAGAAGCACCGGCUAACUACGUG
rnacentral:rRNA from 1 species